GAUGAACGCUGGCGGCGUGCCUAAUACAUGCAAGUCGAGCGAACAGACGAGGAUCUUGCUCCUCUGACGUUAGCGGCGGACGGGUGAGUAACACGUGGAUAACCUACCUAUAAGACUGGGAUAACUUCGGGAAACCGGAGCUAAUACCGGAUAAUAUAUUGAACCGCAUGGUUCAAUAGUGAAAGACGGUUUUGCUGUCACUUAUAGAUGGAUCCGCGCUGCAUUAGCUAGUUGGUAAGGUAACGGCUUACCAAGGCAACGAUGCGUAGCCGACCUGAGAGGGUGAUCGGCCACACUGGAACUGAGACACGGUCCAGACUCCUACGGGAGGCAGCAGUAGGGAAUCUUCCGCAAUGGGCGAAAGCUUGACGGAGCAACGCCGCGGGAGUGAUGAAGGUCUUCGGAUCGUAAAACUCUGUUAUUAGGGAAGAACAAAUGUGUAAGUAACUAUGCACGUAUUGACGGUACCUAAUCAGAAAGCCACGGCUAACUACGUG
rnacentral:rRNA from 1 species